AGCGAACGCUGGCGGCAGGCCUAACACAUGCAAGUCGAACGCCCCGUUCGGGGGAGUGGCGGACGGGUGAGUAACGCGUGGGAACGUGCCCUUUGGUACGGAACAACUGAGGGAAACUUCAGCUAAUACCGUAUGUGCCCCCAUUCUUAGCGGGAUGGGUGGGAAAGAUUUAUCGCCAUUGGAGCGGCCCGCGUUAGAUUAGCUAGUUGGUGGGGUAAUGGCCUACCAAGGCGACGAUCUAUAGCUGGUCUGAGAGGAUGAUCAGCCACACUGGGACUGAGACACGGCCCAGACUCCUACGGGAGGCAGCAGUGGGGAAUCUUGCGCAAUGGGCGAAAGCCUGACGCAGCCAUGCCGCGUGAAUGAUGAAGGUCUUAGGAUUGUAAAAUUCUUUCACCGGGGACGAUAAUGACGGUACCCGGAGAAGAAGCCCCGGCUAACUUCGUG
rnacentral:rRNA from 1 species